rnacentral:lncRNA from 1 species
GGGGAGCUCUGGAGCACUUACAGAGGUGCGGAGGUAACAGCCAUCUCGUUUUCCAUCACUUGUGGAAUAGUGAUUUGGAAAACUCAGGUCCUUUCCAGUAGUAAAAGAUGACAAAAGUUAAUUACAAUAAGGUGACAUUUUUAUUAUUUAUACAAUAAAGAGACUUUUUUUAUGUUAUUCAAAACACUUUUUUAAAUACUGAAAAAGUUGGGUACACCAAAGCCGAAAAAUGGCUCUGCUAUACACUGCACAGCAUUGUUUUAGUCCCUGUAUUUGUUUUAUGUACAGAAGCAUCUGCAAAAUGCAUUCUAAACACAAUAUGCACCUUACGGGUAAGUGUCAUACAUGAAAGAAAACUGGAAGGAUACAACCUGCGUGUGCAAAUUAACUGACGAGAUAAUUGAUUGCACUGAAUCAAUAGAUUUAAAAUAGAAUUUUGAAGUACCUUUUUGCACAUAAAAUGAAGCAGCUUUCAAGUUCAGUAAGUCUUUAUACUGCAAAAAACAUUAAGUACAUUCACAAUCUAUGUUAAUAAAGUAGUAAAUAUUUCUUCAUUCAGCUUUAUUUACAUUAAUACUGUAAUUAAACUGAAAAGUACAGUUAGUCAUUUGUAAUAUAGCAAUCUUUUAACACAUACAAAAAUGACCAUUUUCUGUAUAUAAUUUAAGCUCAAAAUCACAAUUAUCUCAAAAUAUUAAUUACAAUACAGCCAUCUCCAUCAUAAUUAAACAUGUCUUUUAUAAAAUGGUAAAAUUUUUAAUAAAGUAAGCUGUUGGUUUUGAACUGGAUACAGUACUCACGAGUAGAAAACGUAACCGAUAAGUGUUUGUUCUGAGCAGGGUUUCAGGGCAAAGCCACAUAUGCUAGCAAAGAGACAAAGAAGGCCCCAAUUUACAAAGAUGAAGCCUCUUGUGCUGCAGGGCUGUGGCUCGGUUGGUGGUGCUGCAGGAAAAGCCUUACAAGGGCCAUGUAAAUUCUGGCUGCAAUGCAGUGAUGUCAUUCACUUUUAGAAUAUUUGAAUUGUCCCCUAAGAGGAUUCGCAAAGGCUCUUUUUUUUUUCCCUAAGAGAAACUACUUUAGUUCUAAGAGAAACAAAUGGUGUUUUUUAAAAUUGGCUUUUACAGAGAAGUUUCACGUUGGCUGCCCCCAGAGCUCCUCCCACCCCGGAGGAGCACGGAUCACCUUGCCUGGCCUCUGCUGGCCAGAGCCACCGCUCCAGCAUACCCAAACCAAACUUGUUCAAAACAAAACCAAACCACCAAUUAAUUCAUAUCCUAUCCAAACUACUGGCCUGAAAGUUGUAUCAUUACUUUGUAUUCCACUCUUACUAGCAAGACUAACAAAUGAAAUAAGAAAUCCUUAAAUCUGAUUAACUGAAAAUAACACUGUAAAUCUUUGUGUACUAGUUAAAUGAAAGUUCUGAAGGCAGAAGACGUGGGAGGAGUGCACUGAGGCAGGAUGGACAGAACAGUACCAUAGCCCGUGGGUUAGAAGCUCAAGCUUUAGAUAACAGUUUGUUCUUCAUUGGAAAUUCUAAAUGUAAAGUCUGGUAAGGUAGGUAGUGACCCCACUGAGAUUUAUGGUCUCCUGUGUUUGUUUAUGAUUUGGGCAAAUGGGUAUUAGUGUUCUAUUUUAUUUCUGUUUGAUGUGGCUUGCCUGGCUGUGUAGGACAAGGGAUGCACCAUGGUGGAACACGGAUCCCUAUGUGCUAAACUCCCACCCAAGGGGACAGGCAGUGUGCAGACUCCAACCCUUGUCCUGCUGCUGGUUGGCUCCCCAGGAACAGCCCCUGUGCCACCCUGGGUUCAGCACCAGUGCGUACGUCUUUGCUGGAGACCAGACCCUGCACGUGAAUGGGUUCAAAGCCAACUGGUAGCAGGGCUGCAGAACAGCUGGGCCCUGGGAUUUGGACACGUCUGGCCCUAUCAGGUGCCACCGGCAGCACAGGGACAUCAGCCCCAAUACUGACCACGGGUUCCUUAAGAUCUGCUGCAAAUGAGGGAGAAAAGGAAAGAUGCAAACAACCACGGAAUAUGGAAUUUACAUGCCAACAUAAAAGCCUCGCACUCCCAAGCCUCUCCUGUGCUUCCCAGUAGCCAAAAAGAAAAAGGAAGAGUGCAAACAGUUAAAGACCUGGUGCUUCAUAACACGCCGGGGGGACAGUUCCUACUCUUACCUAUUUGAACCACAGCUGUCUAAACUCACUGCUCGUCCACUUGGUGUGUUCACAUGGAAGCAACUGACAGUGCCCACCGGGAGGACGUGAGCCCAUCUCCGUGCCGGUUGGUUACACUACGUCCCGGGGCUACCGAGUAUCACCCUGUGCAGCGACAGUUUCACCCAUUAGUAUGGAGCCAGCUAUACACACUGCAUAUGUACAGGUAUUUUC